GUGGUGCUGAGCACCAGAGCCCUGAGGGAUUGGGGAGAUGUUUGAGGUGGGAAUUCUGGGAUUUUGGGGAAUUUUUUGGAAUUUUUUGGAAUUUUUUGGAAUUUUUUGGCAAUUUUUCUGGAUUUUUUCUGGGAUUUUUUGGAUUUUUUUUUUAUUUUUCUGGGAUUUUUUGGGUGGGAUUUUGGGCCAUGGUGGUCACUGGACGAGUUCAACAACGGCGUGGUGCUGAGCACCAGAGCCCUGAGGAUUGGGGAGAUAUUCCAGGUAGGAAUUUGAGAAUUUUGGGAAUUUUGGGGAAAUUUUUGGGAUUAUUUGGGGGCUUUUUCUGGGUUUUACGGAAUUUUUUGGAUUUUUGGGGGGAAUUUUUAGGGUUUUUUAGGCUAUUUUUGGGUUUUUUUUAGGGUUUUUUUGGGUUUUUUUAGGGUGUUUUUUGGGUUUUUUUGAGUUUUUUCUUAUCUGGUUUUUUGUGGGGUUUUUUUGGUUUCUUGAGGCCCUUUUUUGAGGGGUUUUUUGGUUGUUUUGGGGUUUCUUUUGGAUUUUUUUUAUUUGUUUUUUUUGUGGGGUUUUCUGGGAGCUUCUUUUUGUUAUUUUGGGGUUUGAGUUAUUUUUAUUUUGUUUUUCGUGGGUUUUUUGUGGGGUUUUGUUUGGAGUUUUUUGGGAUUUUCUUGGGGAUUCUUUGAGAGAUUUUUUUUGUUAUUUUGGGGUUUUUUUAGGGUUUUUUUCGGGGGUUUUGUUGGGUUUUUUGGGGAAUUUUUUUUGUUUUUUUGUGGGAUUUUUGGUGGGAUGUUUUAUUUGUGUUUUUGUGGAUUUUUUUGGGGUGUUUUUUGGGGUUUUUUGGGGUGUCCUGACCCCCCUCCUGACCCCCCCAGAUCCGCAUUGACAAACUGGUGGACAAAUGGUCGGGGUCCAUCGAGAUCGGGGUCACCGCCCACAACCCCAACAGCCUGGAGUACCCGGCCACCAUGACCAACCUGCGCUCAGGGACGAUCAUGAUGAGCGGCUGCGGGAUCCUGACCAACGGCAAAGGGACGCGCCGGGAGUACUGCGAGUUCAGCCUGGACGAGCUGCAGGUGAGCCCCAAAAUCCCCCCAAAUCACCCCAAAAUUCACCCUCGGGACCCCCAAAAUCAGCUCCGGGCGCCCCAAAAUCGGGGGGAGUUUGGGACACCCCAAAAUCCCAAAAAUUCCCCCAAAAAAUUCGAUUUAUGGAUCAGAAAUUGGGAUGAUUUCACGGAUUUUUCUAUUUUUUAACUCUAAAAUCUCCCCAAAAUCCACCCAAAUCACCCCAAAAUUCACCCUCGGGACCCCCAAAAUCGGCAAAAUCCACCCCAAAAUCGGGGGGAGUUUGGGACACCCCAAAAUCCCAAAAAUCCCUAAAAAAUCCCCCAAAAAAUUCGAUUUAUGGAUCAGAAAUUGGGGUGAUUUCAUGGAUUUUUCUAUUUUUUAACUCUAAAAUCUCCCCAAAAUCCACCCAAAAUCCACCCAAAAUCCACCCAAAAUUCACCCAAAAUCCACCCAAAAUUCACCCAAAAUUACCCCAAAAUCCGCCCAAAUCCACCCAAAAUCCACCCAAAAUUCACCCAAAAUCCACCCAAAAUUCACCCAAAAUCCACCCAAAAUUCACCCAAAAUUCACCCAAAAUCCACCCAAAAUUAACCUAAAAUCCACCCAAAAUUCACCCAAAUCCACCCAAAAUCCACCCAAAUCCACCCAAAAUUCACCCAAAAUUCACCCAAAAUCCACCCCAAAUUAACCCAAAUUCACCCAAAAUCACCCCAAAUCACCCCAAAAUUCACCCUCGGGACCCCCAAAAUCAGCUCCGGGCGCCCCAAAAUCGGGGGGAGUUCGGGACACUCCAAAAUCCAAAAAAAUCCCCCAAAAAAUUCGAUUUAUGGAUCAGAAAUUGGGAUGAUUUCACGGAUUUUUUUUUUAUUUUUGAGUCUUAAAAUUCACCCAAAUCCACCCAAAAUCCACCCAAAAUCCACCCAAAAUUCACCCAAAAUCCACCCAAAAUUCACCCAAAAUUCACCCAAAAUCCACGCAAAAUUCAAUCAAAAUCCACGCAAAAUUUACCCAAAAUCCACCCAAAAUUCACCCAAAAUUCACCCUCGGGACCCCCAAAAUCAGCUCCGGGCGCCCCAAAAUCGGGGGGAGUUCGGGACACCCCAAAAUCCCAAAAAUCCCUAAAAAAUCCCCCCAAAAAUUCCAUUUAUGGUUCAGAAAUUG
rnacentral:lncRNA from 1 species